CCCUUAGAUGUUCUGGGCCGCACGCGCGCUACACUGACGAAUGCAACGAGCUUAUAACCUUGGCCGAAAGGUUUGGGUAAUCUCCAAAUUUCGUCGUGAUGGGGAUAGAUUAUUGCAAUUAUUAAUCUUCAACGAGGAAUGCCUAGUAAGCGCAAGUCAUCAACUUGCAUUGAUUACGUCCCUGCCCUUUGUACACACCGCCCGUCGCACCUACCGAUUGAAUGGUCCGGUGAAGCCUCCGGAUUGGCGCGCACCUCGGUGCCGCCGAGAAGUUGGCUAAACCUUACCAUUUAGAGGAAGGUGAAGUCGUANCA
rnacentral:rRNA from 1 species